UUAUUCAUUUUCUAUAAAAAAAACAACAAUUUAUUCACAAAACAGUCAUAUAACUUAUAUCUUACAAAAGUUUUUUAAAAACUAUAAUCUUGUACAAAUAAUAAUAUGAUAAUCUAUGAAUGGUUUAAAUAAAUAUUAACUAUUUUCAAGUUAUGAUAGCCCUAAUAUCACAAUUUCCAUUUUUACUGUUUUCUUCUUUCAGUGUGAUGUUGCAGUGUGUGUGUAAAGACUUAAAGUGUGUAAGCAACUUACGGACGUUGCUCUGUUCUUGAAAAGUCUUCAUCGAAACGUCAUCGUCUCAUCAUGACUCUCAAGGCUAAAUUCCAAAGGUAAGAACAAAUUCUUGCAUUUCCAGUUACAAACAAAAAAGAAAGAGCAAAUUCUUGCAUUUCCUAUAAAAAACAAUCAAGUUAGAUAUUAGAAAUUCACAGAAAUAAGACAAAAAAUCCAGACGAACUAUUCAGAUUUUCAGGACAAGUUUGAAGCUUUCUAGUGAUAAACAGAACCCAAUUGUUAUUAAGAGUUUGAUAUUUUCUGUUUAAAAGGCUAAAACCUGGCUAAAUCAUUCAAAAUUUUGAAUUACACCAGGAUCACCAUAAGCAAAACCUAAGAGUCAUAUACUUGAAUGACGUUUAGAACGAAACUGGUAUUACACAAUUUUGGGUUUGAAAAAUUACAAGUUUCAUCCCAAAAUUUUCUGGUAAUAAAAAAAAAAAUCACGAUUAAUUGGUAAUCAUAAUCUAACAUCAUAAUUUUCAUUUUUUCCAUUUGUGUUUAGUACCAAAAAAUAAAGUUACGAUUAAUUGGUUAGGCACUUCACUAUAAGCCAUUAUCAACGUUUGUUUGCAUAUAGCAAACUUUUGACAUUGGAAAAAACUAUAUGAACUAGUUAGCUAAGUUGUAAAAGUCAUAGUCCGCAUUAUCUAAGUUGUAAAAGUUAAGAUGGUUUCACAUGACUAUAGUUGAUUAAGCUUUUGCCAAUAAUUAUUUCCAGACCAUCGAGCAACCCUAUGAGAAUCUGAUCAAUGAUAAUGCCAAAACUGAUUUUCCGUCAUGCCAAGUAUUAUAUAAAAUUUGUCUUGCCGGGAGAACAAGAAACGAAAGCCACAAACUUUGUAAUCGAAGGACACGAAAACAUUGAAGGUAAAGUUUAAAACAUGUGUAAAAGAUAUGAGAUGGGCCAUAUGGCUGGUUCGGGACAUAAUCCUACCGUUGGAGAGGAUUGAGAGGCUGAGAAGAAGAUAGAGAUAAGAGAUUAUGUGAAGACAAACUCUUCUUUCAAUUCCAUUAAAAAGAAAGAUAUUUUAGAAGAGAACAAAUACAAUUUUUUAAUACGUACAAACAUGGGAACAUAGACGUGUCGUUAAUAUUCUCUUAGGACAAUUAACGUACGUGUGGACUAAAACUGAGUUGAAAAACAGACAAAUGUAAUUAAAACCAUCUUUUUCAUUUGAAGAUGAUGCAUGCACUACACAACAUUGUAUUGUAUGGUCCCAUUUUGUUAUCUUUUAACCGACUAACAGGUUAUGGAUGGAUCUAUGGAUUGGUAUAUUUUUUGGACGAAGUAACCAUGUAAUUCACCGGGACAGCCUACUUCAUCAUCAUCACUUUCAUCCUUCUCGCCGAAGACGAGAACCCGGUUCAUUCGGGAUCUGAAGAUGUAACGGAUGUCGUUUCGAUGAUAUUCAGAGGGAUAUUAAUGUCACAAUUUAAGGUGGCUGAAUUUCAAGUUUCUGGCGGUGCCAUGAACCUUGCUUUGACGCAUUUGAGCUUUGCUUUGAAUUCGCUGUCUUUCUAUCGUAGAGGCCUCUUUACAUUUAUCUUGUAUGCUUUAUUGUAUUUGGUUGGAACUCUCCGAAUGUUUAAGAAGUAAUGAAAGUUGUGUGUCAAAAAAAAAACAUGUAAUUCAAUUUGUGUUCAAAAAUAUACUUUUUCCAACGCGA